UACGGAGGGGGCUAGCGGUGUUCGGAAUUACUGGGCGUAAAGCGCGCGUAGGCGGACUGUUAAGUCGGGGGUGAAAUCCCGGGGCUCAACCCCGGAACUGCCUUCGAUACUGGCGGUCUAUAGGUCUGGAGAGGUGAGUGGAAUUCCGAGUGUAGAGGUGAAAUUCGUAGAUAUUCGGAGGAACACCAGUGGCGAAGGCGGCUCACUGGCCAGAUUCUGACGCUGAGGUGCGAAAGCGUGGGGAGCAACCAGG
rnacentral:rRNA from 1 species